rnacentral:lncRNA from 1 species
GAAAAAAGUCUAAUGUGGAUUAAAUACAGUUACCCUUAUGUCAUAUGAAAGAUGAAAUGCUGUUAUAGCUUGGAAGUUGAUUUAUCUGAAAGUGCUAUUUACUUUCAUCGGUAUAGAGGCUUUUUCUUUGCUACUUCACUGUACGCAUUCAUUUAAAGUUGAUUCUUCUUGUAGUUUAUUUUGAAUGGCUGGCUAAGAUGUUUUCAUCUGACUAAAUAUUCAUAGAGAAAGCUUUGCAGUUAUAUCGUUUUAUUUGAAUGAAUAAAAAAAUAAAUAUAAUUUCAAUCGAGAAAAACUUCCCUUUCGUUAUCUGCCAUUAGAACGACAAUCUCAGAGAACAAUCAAAUUAUUACUAUACUGCAGAUAUUGAUCUAGGCAGAACUCAGCUACCUUACAUAAUGCUGAAGCUACACAAGGAUUUUACAGCUUAGUGCUUGCACAUGAACAGUGCAGGAGAAGCCAUAGUACUGGAAUCUCUUAAAAAGCCCGGGCCCAUUAUCAGACCUAGCACAAAGUUGCCAUUGAUGGGACUAAAGUGAGGUCAAAUAUUCUAUAUGGAGAAUGAUAAUUUAGGAUAUAAUACCUGUUCUAACUUUGAUGAACAAUUAACUGCACUGGAUAUUAUACAAAACUGGAAAUGUAAAUUCUUUUGUUGAAUCAUGCAAAACUGGAAUGCACAGUCCUAAAGUCAAUGGUAAAAGUUAUUUUUCUUCCUAGGAUAUUUACCUGUUUUAACUUGGACGAAUAAUUAAUUACACUGAGGAUUUCCCUAAGUCCAUCGAGGAAAUAAAAAUUUUGGCAAUGCAAAAUUCUUCCAUU